UGUCUUUAUAUAUCGACGCGGUGGUUGUUCACUGUCAAAAUGCAAGCUGUUUCAAUGCUGCAAAACAAAUCUAUAUACUUGUGUCUAAUCAAACUGCUGCUCCAUGGUUGUUUACAAACGGUUUCUACCGACAUGCUUACGCCAGUGACCUGCAGAAAAUGAUUAGUGGUGACAUGAUGACUCGUGCGUUGUUGUUGGGGAUUGAG